UAAAAGCCGCAAUUGGACAAUGUGUUUGACAUCAUCCUUCCACUCAACGAACAGAUAACAUCAUGUCAUGACGUAUAAGCUUUAGUGUUUUUGUAUUUGAGAAACAAACAUUGGUCAAGGAUUACCGAAAAUUUAAAGGGUUGAUUUACCGAAAUCAUGACGUAUUCCAUUCAAUUUCAGCACGAGGAAGAGGUAAAGAACAUCAAGUAACGGAGACCCUAUGUAAAUAAAGAAAGCAUGGAAGAACAAAUAAAGGUAAGGAACAAUAAAAUGUCUAAGAAAAAAAAGAAACAAAUACGACUUCUCUUCGAAAAAAAACAACAACAACAACAAUUAACGAUUGCUCUUUUCUUUACAUAUAUAUAUUUUUUUAUCGUAAUUUGAUUGCCUUGUUUUCCAUGGGAACCCGAGUGUAUGAAUAUUGGUGAAUUCGUAUGUACACAUAAAACUUUACUGUGUGAAAACAAAUAAUGAAUUAAAAAAAAAGAAAAGAAAAGCAUCUGAUUCAGCCACCUCUUUUUUAUCUAAUUUCCCUUCUACAGUUUAUGAAAAUUGGAUGCAUAAUCGAAAUUGCCCUCUUGCCUUGUCGGACCGAUGGUUAUUUACUAAUAGUAUAUAAGCCUACCCCUUUUGCUUAACGAAGCAUUUUACGAGUCGUAAAGUUGAAAUUAGCGAAAAGUUUCGCAGCACAUAAAUUGACAAUUCCACAGAAAAAAAAAAUGUUUGAAAGAGAGAGAGUGUGUGUGAUUCAGGAUUCUCUUUUUUUAUUCUUUUUUAUUUUUGGGGGUAAGGUAUUCUACAAUACACGAAGAAGACUUUUUUUAAAAUGUCCAUCUAAAAAUAGAGAAACUUAGAAGACAAUCGAAGAAAAUAAGAUCCCCUUUGAUCACUGAAUGCACUACACUACACUGCACUAAUUCCGUUUAUGAAUGCCGUUUAGUACGGCAGGAGCGGGUUACUGCUAAAAAUAAAUAACGACGGCUACUAAGAAUAGAAAGUAAAGUGGGUGUGCUAUCCGAUGUUGGUUAUUUACAGAAAUAGACGAGAAACACAAGAAGCUGCUUACAAACAAAAAGUAUUUGUUGUGUGAAUGGUGGAUGAAAAUAGAAAGGUUCUUGUUUUAACUUCUUCUCAUAUCUUUUAAACGAAUAAUUAAUGAGUGUUUCUUUAUUCGUGAGUCUAUAUUCUCGGGUUUCCUUCUCAAACUUUCAUCCAAAAUAGCUAGUUCUAUAAAAAUAACCAUUUCAACAUGUGCCUAGGCA